AGACCGGCGGCUUUCGAAAUCACCGCGUCGUCGUCCCGGAUAUCUGCUCGAGGAUGACCAGCUGCGGUGCAUGGAGGACUUUCAUUGUUGUUGGUGAGCCUGGAUCCGUGCACACGAUCAUGGAACUACCCACCGUUAGCACUUGAACAAUCCCAACUGCUGAGUCCAGAGUUUGGGAUCAGCUCCGAAAACCUCCCGUCGACUUCUAUCGUGGCUCGGUUGGUUUUCUCGAGAAUCUAGGAAGGGAUUCCUAAAGUGCAACUGGGCACCACCCGAAGCGAGUGGGACGGUUUUAUGCCCCAUUCGCGCAUGAAUCGGCCCUAAUGGAUGCGAGCUUUUUGAUGAUGAUGGUGCGAAUGUCAAAGGAUUGAUGUGUUGAUAGAGUGGCUCCUGGGAGGGAUCUUUCUUGAAGCUGGUUGCGUCCUGCACUUUGGCCUCGCCGCCAGAUUCACGUCUAGUCGAUUCUAGUACUGAUGGUGCCGUUGUGGGGUCUGGCCGUGGCGUCCGUCCCAGCUGUGGCAUGGCUGCUUCUCAGGAGAGAGAGUGAAUCUGACGAGGUCAAGAAGCAGGAGCGGCGUUCUGCUGCGAGGUCAGUGAAAGGCGAGAGACUCUUGUUGGACACGGCAGUGCAGCGACGGUUCGCGAGGCAAGAAUUCUACCGCAAGCAUAAGAAUUUCGACUUCAAUAAAAUUGACGAAGAACACGGCCUCAAUGUUUUAGAGACAUAUGUAUUGAACUCAGAUGGCAAGGAGAUUUUUGUGAAGAGUUGGAUACCUGCACAGAAGCAGCUCCAUGGCGUUGUUUUCUUGUGUCAUGGUUAUGGCGAUACCAUUACCUAUUACGCUGAAGGCGUGGCGCGAACAUUGGCGUCAGCUGGAUAUGCUGUGUUUGGCAUGGAUUAUCCCGGCUUUGGCAUGUCAGAAGGCUUGCAUGGAUACAUACUCGAUUUCCACAAACUUGUGGACGAUGUCAUAGAGCAAUACCGCGCCAUUAAAGAGCGCGAGGAGCUGAAAGGACUGCCAUGCUUUCUUUACGGUGAGUCCAUGGGAGGGGCUGUCGCCCUGCGAGCUCAUCUGAAAGAACCAAGUCUGUGGAAUGGGGCCGUUCUUGUGGCACCUAUGUGCAAAAUUGCAGACACGAUGUAUCCUCCUUGGAUACAAUUGCAAAUUCUGCUCCUCCUUGCUCGCAUCAUUCCCAAAGCAAAGCUUGUGCCGGACAGAAACAUUGCUGCUCUCGGGUUCCGUGUUCCGGAGAAAAGGCAUUUGGCUGAUAUGAAUCCUAUUUCAUACUCGGGAAACCCGCGACUUGGAACUGCUGUACAAUUGCUCCGGAUUACGGACUACAUUGAGAGCAAGUUGCAUGAGGUUUCUUUACCAUUGCUUGUACUGCACGGUGGUGAUGACCGAGUCACGGAUCUAUCGAUCAGCAGACUGCUCCACGAGAAGGCAAGAUCUAAGGACAAGACGCUACGAGUGUGUCCCGAUUCCUGGCAUUGCAUUAUGCAGGGAGAACCAGAUGAUGUGAUACGUAAAGUGAUGAGGGAAGUCAUAGAGUGGCUUGAUGCCCGCGCUGCGCCGAAAUUGUGGAAACUUGGCCAGAGUGAGGAAGAGUUUGAGGAAAGAGUCGCUGCUGCUGUACCCCAUUUGAUCAAUUUUGGUAGAUUAAACGUAGCAACAUAGAGUAAAUUGACUUGAUUAUUUCAUAGUACAUUGUUGGAAAUGUUACUGUGAACUAGUUGCACGAAGCAAUUGGUAUCCUGAAAGUACAAGGCUUUUGGAGCAGAGGAUUAGGUUCCUGCAAUAGUACCGCAUAAACUCCUGUUUUGCAUUGACGCAAACAUUCAAUGGGUCUCGUAAUUGAGGAUAAUCGUUGUACAGCUUUUCAAUCUUUUCGAUCUUUACACCUAAAUGAUGCAGCUUAAUAUGAGGCUACUGGAUGACAGACAAUUAUCGUUUCAGCAAACAAGUUCAGGUCAGGUUCAAUGAUGAAGUGAUCUAAUGAAAGCUGCCGACGGUUGUAGAUAGUUUUCCAUUUCUCUUCAGCGAACAAGAAUUCGAGGCAAUUCAGAGUUGCAGCAGAUUCUCUACAUACAGCCCCCGUGUGGUCGUACCUUCACAAGGUCGGGUGCAGGGUUUGUUGGAACGCCUUGAGCAGCGUUGCUUGGUAAGAGCUGGGAAUAUUGGUAAAAUUGCUCUUGGUGUCA